rnacentral:rRNA from 1 species
GUCCGCACGGUAAACGAUGGAUGCCCGCUGUUGGUCUGAACAGGUCAGCGGCCAAGCGAAAGCAUUAAGCAUCCCACCUGGGGAGUACGCCGGCAACGGUGAAACUCAAAGGAAUUGACGGGGGCCCCGCACAAGCGGAGGAACAUGUGGUUUAAUUCGAUGAUACGCGAGGAACCUUACCCGGGCUUGAAUUGCAGAGGAAGGAUUUGGAGACAAUGACGCCCUUCGGGGUCUCUGUGAAGGUGCUGCAUGGUUGUCGU